GAUAAGAGUGUAAAAUACCAUAUUUUCUCCUCUUAACUAUUGCAUUCAUGUGAUUAUAUUAUGCCAAAAUACACUCAUUACUCUUAUAUUUUGGUUUAGGUUGCAUUUUGGUGAAAAAGAUGAAAUUCGGAAGAAACAAGUGAAAAAUGACCAAAGUAGAAGAGAACGAAAGUUCAGGGACUAAAGUGCAAAUGAUCCAAAAUUGUG
rnacentral:lncRNA from 1 species